CCUACGGGAGGCAGCAGUGGGGAAUAUUGGGCAAUGGAGGCAACUCUGACCCAGCAACGCCGCGUGAAUGAUGAAGGUCUUCGGAUUGUAACGUUCUUUUCUAAGGGAAGAAGAAAGUGACGGUACCUUAGGCAUAAGCCUAGGCUACCUACGUGCCAGCAGCCGCGGUACUACGUAGGAGCCAAGCGUUAACCGGAAUGACUGGGCGUAAAGGGUGCGUAGGUGGUUUGACAAGUUAGUAGCGCAACUCCGGAGCUCAACUUCGGAACUACUACUAAAACUGGUGGGCGUGAGUGCAGGAGAGGCAAGUAGAAUUCCAAGUGUAGCGGUGGAAUGCGUAGAUAUUAGGAGGAACACCAGUGGCGAAGGCGGAUUGCUAGACUGAAACUGACGCUGAGGCACGAAAGCGUGGGGAGCAAACAGGAUUAGAUACCCCUGUAGUC
rnacentral:rRNA from 1 species